rnacentral:rRNA from 1 species
UAGAUUUUGAUCCUGGCUCAGAUUGAACGCUGGCGGCAGGCCUAACACAUGCAAGUCGAGCGGUAGCACAGAGAAGCUUGCUCUCGGGUGACGAGCGGCGGACGGGUGAGUAAUGUCUGGGAAACUGCCUGAUGGAGGGGGAUAACUACUGGAAACGGUAGCUAAUACCGCAUAACGUCGCAAGACCAAAGUGGGGGACCUUCGGGCCUCAUGCCAUCAGAUGUGCCCAGAUGGGAUUAGCUAGUAGGUGGGGUAACGGCUCACCUAGGCGACGAUCCCUAGCUGGUCUGAGAGGAUGACCAGCCACACUGGAACUGAGACACGGUCCAGACUCCUACGGGAGGCAGCAGUGGGGAAUAUUGCACAAUGGGCGCAAGCCUGAUGCAGCCAUGCCGCGUGUGUGAAGAAGGCCUUCGGGUUGUAAAGCACUUUCAGCGGGGAGGAAGGCGAUGAGGUUAAUAACCUCGUCGAUUGACGUUACCCGCAGAAGAAGCACCGGCUAACUCCGUGCCAGCAGCCGCGGUAAUACGGAGGGUGCAAGCGUUAAUCGGAAUUACUGGGCGUAAAGCGCACGCAGGCGGUCUGUCAAGUCGGAUGUGAAAUCCCCGGGCUCAACCUGGGAACUGCAUUCGAAACUGGCAGGCUAGAGUCUUGUAGAGGGGGGUAGAAUUCCAGGUGUAGCGGUGAAAUGCGUAGAGAUCUGGAGGAAUACCGGUGGCGAAGGCGGCCCCCUGGACUGAAACUCACGCUCAGGUGCGAAAGCGUGGGGAGCAAACAGGAUUAGAUACCCUGGUAGUCCACGCUGUAAACGAUGUCGAUUUGGAGGUUGUGCCCUUGAGGCGUGGCUUCCGGAGCUAACGCGUAAAUCGACC